AAAACUUCCAUCACUGAUUGGUUUCUUGUUUCAGAUUCGUUGAUUGGAUCAGAAUAAUGAAUUUUCCCGCCCAAUAUAAGCUUAUGAUUGGUCGUUUUGGAGAAUUGUUUCAGAUCCUCUGUUUUCACUCUUUGCUCUGUUUCGAAUUUGAUUAAAGAUCUGAUAUUUAUUUGUUUGUUUUACUUGAAGGAUUCAAAGCUUGAAUUUUUAAGAGAUGGGUUCUCGAUUUAACUUCGUUGACGACGCAAAGCAGCCAGCUUUGGGGACUGGUGUUCCUCUGACGAGACAGAACUCUGUUUUCUCGUUAACCUUUGAUGAGUUUCAGAACUCAUGGGGUGGUGGGGUUGGGAAGGACUUUGGGUCCAUGAACAUGGACGAGCUCUUGAAGAACAUAUGGACAGCUGAGGAAAGCCACUCUAUGAUGGCCAACAACACCAGUUUCAACAACACUUUUAAUGGAGGUUUGUCUGUUGGUGUGGGAGGGGAGCUUGGUGGUGUUGGUGGGGGUUUGCAGAGACAAGGGUCACUUACUUUACCUCGUACCAUUAGUCAGAAAAGAGUUGAUGAUGUCUGGAAGGAGCUGAUGAAGGACGAUGACGCUGGAAGUGGUGGUGGAGGAGCGAGUGGAGUUCCGCAGAGGCAACAGACGUUGGGGGAGAUGACUCUGGAGGAGUUCUUGGUGAGAGCUGGUGUUGUUAGGGAAGAGCCUCAACAACAGGUGGAGAGGGUGGAUCACUUCAACGGUGGGUUCUUUGGAUUUGGAGGUGAUGCAGGGCUGAGUUCAGCUCGUAAUGGGUUUGGUCCUAACCUGGUGAGACCGGAUCUGCUGACAAAUCAAACUCAGCCGUUGCAGAUGCAGCAGCAGCAGCCACAGAAGGUGCAUCAGCCGCAGCAACUGAUCCAGAAGCAGCAGGAUGUAGCUUUUCCUAAACAGUCUACGAUAGCGUUUUCCAACACUGUUGAUUUGGUCAACCGUUCUCAACCUCCAACACAGGAAGUGAAGCCUUCAGUUCUUGGAGUUAGGGACAUGCCUAUGAACAAUAACAACCUUCUUCAGGCUGUUGAUUUUAAAACAGGUGUUACGGUUGCAGCAGUAUCUCCUGGAAGCCAGAUGUCACCUGAUCUGACUCCAAAGAGCAACAUGGAUGCGUCUUUGUCACCUGUUCCUUACAUGUUUGCUGGUCGAGUGAGAAAAACAGGCGCAGUCCUGGAGAAAGUGAUUGAGAGGAGGCAGAAAAGGAUGAUUAAGAAUAGGGAAUCAGCUGCAAGAUCACGCGCUCGCAAGCAAGCUUAUACGUUGGAGUUGGAGGCAGAAGUUGCACAACUGAAAGAGCAGAAUGAAGAGUUGCAGAGGAAACAAGUUGAAAUUAUGGAAAAGCAGAAAAAACAGGUACUAUCUCUUGUAUUCUUAAGUCUAAGCUUUUAGUCCAAUACUGUAAGCAACACGAUGAAGUGAAGUAUAACAUCACAUCUUAACAUUAACUUCUGGAGCCAAUGCGUCAGACAUGGGGAUGCAAAAGGCAAUGCUUGAGAAGGACACUGACAGGUCCUUGGUAGAGAGCUUGUUUAUGAAGCCCUCCAAGGAGCUCAACAAAAGAGCAGAAGCUAUAGAAACAACACAGAAAGUAGAAGCUAGCUUUGUAUGUAACUUAGGCAGGUGUUUUCUGUGGGGGUGAUUGUAGGUAAAUGAAGUGUGGCCGAUUUGACUAGAUCAACACUCUUUUUUUCUUCUUCUGUUUUCUUGAAGCAUCUUUUGGUUUUAUGUUCCUGAUGUAAUUGAUCUUGAUGUUGCUUUCUAGGACGUGUCAAUGUCUUAGAAACAUCUUUGUGACUUAAUCAUAGUGGAUUUGUCUUGUAGCAUA